CCUACGGGGGGCAGCAGUAGGGAAUCUUCCGCAAUGGGCGAAAGCCUGACGGAGCAACGCCGCGUGAGUGAUGAAGGUCUUCGGAUCGUAAAACUCUGUUAUUAGGGAAGAACAAAUGUGUAAGUAACUGUGCACGUCUUGACGGUACCUAAUCAGAAAGCCACGGCUAACUACGUGCCAGCAGCCGCGGUAAUACGUAGGUGGCAAGCGUUAUCCGGAAUUAUUGGGCGUAAAGCGCGCGUAGGCGGUUUCUUAAGUCUGAUGUGAAAGCCCACGGCUCAACCGUGGAGGGUCAUUGGAAACUGGGAAACUUGAGUGCAGAAGAGGAAAGUGGAAUUCCAUGUGUAGCGGUGAAAUGCGCAGAGAUAUGGAGGAACACCAGUGGCGAAGGCGACUUUCUGGUCUGUAACUGACGCUGAUGUGCGAAAGCGUGGGGAUC
rnacentral:rRNA from 1 species